AGCGAACGCUGGCGGCAUGCUUAACACAUGCAAGUCGCGCGGCCGGCAACGGCAGCGGCGGACGGGUGAGUAACGCGUAGGAAUGUAUCCUGAGGUGGGGGACAACCCUGGGAAACUGGGGCUAAUACCGCAUGGGAGCUGAGGCUCAAAGCCUUCGGGUGCCUUGGGAGCAGCGUGCGUCCGAUUAGCUAGUUGGUGGGGUAAUGGCCUACCAAGGCGGCGAUCGUUAGCCGGUCUGAGAGGACGGGCAGCCACACUGAGACUGAGACACGGCCCAGACUCCCACGGGAGGCAGGAGUGGGGAAUAUUGGAAAAGGGGCGCAAGCCUGAUCCAGCAAUGCCGCGUGGGUGAAGAAGGUCUUCGGAGUGUAAACCUCUUUCAGCAGGGACGAAGCGCAAGUGACGGUACCUGCAAAAGAAGCACCGGCCAACUACGUGCCAGCCGCCGCCGUAAGAC
rnacentral:rRNA from 1 species